rnacentral:lncRNA from 10 species
CCCCUCUGAAGCUUGAUGACUACACAUCAGUAAGACUUCUGAUUAUGGAAACAUUUUCUCUACUGUGUCCUCCAACUGUCACUUGAACUGACUGGUAAAAUUUUAGCAGACAAUAGUGAGACUGUCAACGAAAACAGUAACUCUUUUAGUGAUUCCAGAGAGAUCUCUGGAUUUACUUGGAUGUCAAGAGUUCAGGCAUGGUGGAGGGGUACUGAGGAAGAAUGGCAACAAUUCGAGCAAGACAUAUUAUCGGAAAGAAAUUGUCCUUUCUGGAAGAAAAGAAGUAUCUCUGGGUGGAUUGGGACACUGGUGCUGGCACCCACUUGCUUAUUUGCUGAGGCUUUUUGGUCCUUCUUGUUCCUCAGAGAAAGAUGCGUAGAGCAGCUUCUGAAGAUCAGCAGGCCUGUGCAGCAUCAUCUGAGGGUCCCCAGAAUUAAAGCAACAUGAAACCCUUCAUACUGAGUGUGGCCACUUCCCACUGACCAUGACUCACAAAUGGUGAGGCCACCUGACAGCGUUGAAGAUAAUUACUAUUCAUCCUCUUCUGCUAAUAGAAACUAUUUUCUCCCCUAAUCUAGGUUUCCAAUUUUAGAAGCUGCCCUGUCCUCAUAAAAGAAUUACCAGGAAGGUAGGAGGUUUGUUUGUUUGCUUUUCUGUGCAUCUAAGUACCCUGACAAUCUAAUCUCUGGAGAGUCUCAGUAACCAGGCAACACAAGUCAUGCUCCAAUUGUGCGGUCCUCAAUCCACUUUUCCUGUGCUAUUCCAGUUCAAAGUAAGAAUACCAAAGCCAGAACUGCAGAAGAUAAAUGUGGAUCUUUAUUACUACAAGCAGAUAACGGGGUCUGCCCCCUCUUCUUAUUGCUGAGUAGAAAUUCUGAGGCAAGUGCUUUUAAAAAGACUAGAACAGCACAUUUUACCUAAGAAUAAGAUUAUAGCUAGUAACCUGUUUUUCUUACAAAAAAAGAAAAUGGAAGGAGAUAGCUUUUGUCUGGUGACAGUUUAUUUUAACCCAGAUGCUUCCUCCACUUGUAAUUUGGCCUCAUUUGUGUUUUCAGAAACAUCACCAAUUCAGACGGGUUUCUUGGGUAAGGACUUAAUGGACAAGGUUAAACACAGCUGUUCUGGUGCCUGAAAUCCUUAAGAGUCUAGCAGGACCGGAGCAAGUAAAAUAAACUCAGAAAGAGCUGUCUGGAUCAGUGUUUCUAGAGACAAAAUGAGUAUAAAUGAGCAUGGAGUCAACAGGCCUCCUGGGUCAAGGUCAGAGGCAACCUGGGGACACGGAUUAACAGCGGAAGAACACUGCCUAUAGUACAUUUGCUAUGAGACAGCACAGAAUUGGACAUUCUGGCCUUUAAUCAUCAGGCUAUCACAAGGAAAAGUGGUCCAGAUUUAGUACUGUGUCAGCACUUUUUAUAAUAAAUGCUUCAUUUACUAGGAAUUUAGCUAUCGAGUUGCAGAUGAUAAAAAUGACACUCAAAUGCAAGGUCAAACAGCAAACAUUUAUAAUUCCUGUCUAUUAGCUAAAUACACAGUCCUAAUUAUCCAGGUGAAAGGGGUAAUUGUUUUCCCAAACAGUGCCUCAAUCUCCAGUGAUUUACAAAGCACUUUUACACACAUCAUCUCGUCACAGUGGUGUGUAUGCCCUUGUUACACAGAUGGAUUGAACUGGAAAUUGUUUCAUUUGCCAGUUUUAAGUAUCUUCCUUUUCCCUGUGGGUGGUUUCUGUAAGGCCUGAUGGACAUAUUAUCAUCUGGAUCUUCCAGGCAAUGACACCUCUAAAGAGGCCGAUGAACUAGAACUAUCAGUUCUAACACCUUAGGCAAGAAUCCCUCAAUCUCUCUGGGUUUCAGCUUCUUCAUGUGUAUACUGUAGAUAUGUUGUCAAAAUUGUGCUAAUCUUCACCAACUAAUAAGAAAUGAUAAGAAUGAGAUUUUGUGGAUAUGGGACUUUAAUAUACAGUGAGAGGAAUAUAAAUCAGCAUGACUUUUUGCUGGUGUUAUGUAAUAAAAUGUAAAACGUACAUACCAUUUCAUGCAGAAAAUUUAUAUCCAAGAAUCUAUCCCAAUGAGGUAGUUACAUAAAUAUGCAAGUAUACACAAGAUGUUCAUCACAAUUAGAAACAACCAAAAUGUCCACCAACAUGAGACUAGUUCAAAAAGAUACGAGGUAUUCAUACAAGAGACUUUAUGCAUCCACUGAAAAGAAUCAUGUAAUUCAUAUUGGUUGACUCAAAUAGAAGCUCCAUCACAUAUUUUCAAGACAAAAGGAAUUACAAAGCAGUAUGGUUGAUAUAAUCCCAUUUAUGUGCAAAUCAAAUAAAUUCCAGAUUUCACUGUGGUUCAAUUCAGCCCAGUGUCACAUUCACAGAAACAACCCAGCAACAAAAAGGCAUUACAGAGUAAUUUCAGCCUUGGCUCUCCAUUUUCAGAAAACAUUAAAGAACCUACAAUUCCUAACCCACAGCACCACAUCUUAAAAUAGUCUCUGUAUCCCACCUUUUUCAUCUUGUUCUCUAAUUCUCACACUGUAAUAGCUCCUGAAGGCUUUCUCCUCCCCAAUAUGCUUUUCUACUCUCAACCAAAGACAUCACAAUGAUACUCAAACAGAUCAGCCACUUCUCUUUUGUCCCUCUUCCUUCUUCCUUUGUUUUUUUUCUUCACUGAUUACCAUACUCCGAAAAAUAAGGUGGAGAAAGAAGAAAAUGCUAAGUGGACAAAAUUUCCUUUCCAGAGAGUAGGAGAAAAAGAGAUUGACUAUGCAUAUACUACAAUGUCUUAACCUUGUAGCAAGCGCAAAAUUAUUUAAGUGAUAUCUACUGCAUAUAUGCCUAGAAGUGUCUGCAAGGAUGUUGACAAAAUUCUUAAGAAUAAUUAUCUCAGUUGGGAUUUCCCUGUGAACUUUGCUUUUAAUUUUAUAUCUCUCCUUAUACCUCUUUGAGUAACUCAUGAUGAACAUGUUUUGUUUGUGAUCAAAACCACGAAAUAAACUCAUGUCAACAUGUAAAAAAAGAGGUUGUAAUGAUGCUCACAAGAAACAAUAGACAUGAAAAAAUACACAAUUUAAGUACAAAGUAUAAGCAUUUUAAAUAAAUACGAUUGGACUGUCUCUUCCAGUUUCCAACAUUAAUAAGCUCCAUUAUUUUGGAAUUAUUUUAAUUACUCCUACAUGUUAGAGUUGGUUAAUUUCUGAACAACAGUCAGAUACUCCCCUGUGUUGCUUAAUUUGUUGUUUUAUUAUCAGUCAGCCCUGUUUAAUUUGUGAGUCCACUGGGUUAUGACUUGUACAGCAU